UAAGCCUUUUCCUAGCUCGUUUGUGAGAACCAGUUACAGCCUUUAUUCCUAGUUUUGAUUCACCUGCCUAUUUGCCUACCUGUGUAUGACCAUUUCCUGCCUUCUGUGAAGGCGAAAUAAACAUCUGCCACGCUCUGCACGUGAAUCUACACCUUUUUCUCCGCAGUUUUUUGGGGAUGCAUAAAUCACGAUGUGAGUCGUGUCCAAAUGGGGAAUUACCAGUCCCCUGGGGCCCUUUGAUUGUGUCUGCUGGAUGGUAUGAGAUCUCCCUGACCUGUAACUCUAAGGUUAAGGAAAAGGUGAUGAUCACAGAUGGUGGCUAGAUGCAUGGAAGUGAUAAUUCGGCUGAGGACAGUGUGAGCCUCUUCCCCUCUAACCGGCUGAAGUAAUGGUGCCAAUGGCAUUCAAUAUGGCCCUGUCCUUCACCACUUCUACCGUGAGACCUGAGUCAGCCAGCAACCAGUACACAGCAUCCAGUCGAAGCCAUCAACUGCCUUUUCUCUCAGAAGUGACAAAGCAAAAACAUUUUUUUUGAAUAUUUUAAACAGAGUUAUCACAUUUUCAAAAGUAUUCAGACCCUUUACUCCAGUACCUUGUUGAAGCACCUUUGGCAGCAAUUACAGCCUCCAGUCUACUUGGGUAUGAUGCUACAAGCUUGGCACACCUGUAUUUGGGGAGUUUCUCCCAUUCUUCUCUGCAGAUCCUUUCGAGCUCUGUCAGGUUAGAUGUGGAGCAUCGCUGCACAGGUAUUUGCAGGUCUCCAGAGAUGUUCGAUCGGGUUCAAGUUCGGGCUCUGGCUGGACCCCUCAAGGAUAUUCAGAGAAUUGUCCUGAAGCCACUCCUGCAUCGUCUUGGCUGUGUGAUUAGGGUUGUUGUCCUGUUGGAAGAAUUACGUUCAUCCCCAUCUGAGGUCCUAAGUCCUCUGGAGCGGGUUUUCUUCAAGGAUCUCUAUGUACAUUGCUCCGUCCAUCUUUUUCAUUGAUCCUGACUAUUCUCCCAGUCUCUGCCACUGAAAAACAUCCCCACAGCAUGAUGCCUCCACCAUCAUGAUUCACCGUAGGGAUGGUGACAGAUUUCCUCCAGAUGUUAUGGGUGGCAUUCAGGCCAAACUGUUUCAUCUUUGUUUUAUCAAACCAGAGAAUCUUGUUUCUCAUGGUCUGAGAGUCUUUAGUUGCCUUUUGGCAGUGGGCUGUCAUGUGCCUACUGAGGAGUGGUUUCCGUCUGGCCUCUCUACCAUAAAAGCCUGAUUGAUGGAGUGCUGCAUAGAUGGUUGUCCUUCUGGAAGGUUCUCCCAUCGCCACAGAGGAACUCUGGAGCUCUGUCAGAGUGACCAUCGGGUUCUUGCUUACCUCCCUAACCAAGGCCCUACUCCCCCGAUUGCUCAGAUUGGCUGGGAAACCAGCUCUAGGAAGAGUCUUGGUGGUUCCAAACCACUUCCAUUUAAGAAUGAUGGAGGCCAAUGUGUUCUUGGGGACCUUCAAUGCUGUAGAAGUAUUUUGGUACCUUUCCCCAGAUCUGUGCCUCGACACAAUCCUGUCUCGGAGCUCUACAGACAAUUCCUUCGACCGCAUGGCUUGGUUUUUGCUCUGACAUGCACUGUCAACCGUGGGACCUUUUAUAUAGUUGGGUGAGUGCUUUUCCAAAUCAUGCCCAAUCAAUUGAAUUUACCACAGGUGGACUGCAAUAUUGAUCAAUGGAAACAGGAUGGUCCUGACCUCAAUUUUGAGUCUCAUAGCUAAAGUUCUGAAUUCUUAUUUAAUAAGGUAUUUAUGUAUUUGUUUUUUUCAUUAAAGGUUGAUGUGUAAAUUGAUGAACAUUUUUAUUUUAAUACAUUUCAGAAUAAGGUUGUAACUAAACAAAAUGUGCAAAAAUUCAAGGGGUCUGAAUACUUUCUGAAGGCCCAGAAGUAAAUGGUCAUUGUGGAAGGAGAGCCCUGCUGGGCCCUGGGGUUGGGUCUGAUUAAGUUGUGAACUUUACUGCAUUGAUAAGGAAAAAUUGCCUUUUAAGACUAUAACCAACAAUGUGCCCUAGACAAUUUGUGAGAUCUCUAGAGACGUAGAGCAAAUUGGCAAUGCUAAAAUAAUUGCAUAAAUUGGCUCUGCAAAACAGAGGCUCUUGCCUAUCUUUUAGCAGGUCAAGGGGCCACUUGUGCAAUCAUUGGCGAUGAAUGUUGUACUUUUGUCCAAGAUCAUUCUUUGCCGCAUACAUUACAACUAUUGCUAAGAAUAGUUCCUCACAACCAGUGGUACCUGCAAAUUGGUUGGAUUCCCUGUUUGGAAGAUGGGGAUCCCAAAUUGCCAAAUGGGCUGCAGCUUGUUUUUUUCUCAGUUUGCCUAUUUGUGUUAUUUAACCUGCUGUGUGUGUGUUUGUUAAAUUCACACCCAUUAAUAGAAGUGCCACCUUUAUUAUGAUAGUGUCUGGUUUUAAGUGUUGAUUGUCCUUACUUUAAUAAAAGCAUAGAACCUUUUCAUAGAAGCUAUAAUCUAAUGCUUACCUUUAAAUGUAAUGAUAAGUAUUCCAGAUGGUGUGAUACGAGGAGGGAAUGUGAUGGAACAUUUUAUGUUUGUGCUUUUCUAAUAACCAACUUUUGUGUUCAUGCAAGUGACUGAAGGAACGAAUCCUCACUAUCAGUAUCUGCAAUUUGUCUUCAGUAGGUCCUAUGAUUGAGUGUAGUCUGGCCCAGGGGUGCGAAGGUAAACGGAAAUGCACUGGAGUGACAAACCACACUUGCUGUCUCUGCCUGGCCGGCUACCCUCGCACCACUGGGAUUCUAUGUCACUGACCCUAUUACGGGAGCUGAGUCACUGGCUUGCUUGCGCUCUCCCAUGCCCUAGAAGAGGUGC
ensembl:lncRNA